CGGGGCGUAGCUCAGAUUGGAUUAGAGCGCUAGAAUGGGGUUCUAGAGGUCGCCGGUUCAAGUCCGGCCGCCCCGA
rnacentral:tRNA from 1 species